AUUGAACGCUGGCGGCAGGCCUAACACAUGCAAGUCGAACGAGUGGCGGACGGGUGAGUAAUGUCUGGGAAACUGCCUGAUGGAGGGGGAUAACUACUGGAAACGGUAGCUAAUACCGCAUACCAUCGGAUGUGCCCAGAUGGGAGUAGCUAGUAGGUGGGGUAAAGGCUCACCGAGGCGCCGAUCCCUAGCUGGUCUGAGAGGAUGACCAGCCCCACUGGAACUGAUCCCCGGUCCAGACUCCUACGGGAGGCAGCAGUGGGGAAUAUGGCACAAUGGGCGCAAGCCUGAUGCAGCCAUGCCGGGUUUAUGAAGAAGGCCUUCGGGUUGUAAAGUACUUUCAGCGGGGAGGCGUUACCCGCAGAAGAAGCACCGGCUAACUCCGUGCCAGCCGCCGCGGUAAUUC
rnacentral:rRNA from 1 species